rnacentral:misc_RNA from 1 species
UUCUUUGUAUCUCCCGUCUCUGAUUUAAACUAAAACAAACUAAAUUUUUCGCCUAAGAGUUUCGGGAUUUCCUGCAGUUGUACAACAAUGUCACUCAGACUUGCUUCGAUGCGUGUGUAACUGAUAUGCACUACAGGAAGAUGACAGAUAGUGAGGGAAGCUGCAUUGAUACUUGCUCUAGCAAAUUUGUGAAUGUAAAUCACAGGAUGAUGUCACUGUUUAUGGAGCUAGCGCCGAAGCUUGGUUUCCUGUCUCAGCCUGGAGGCAAUACAGGCAACCCUCUUACAAAGUGAAGACGAACAC